GGUUACGGCGGGCCAAGCCGAAGAUCCGUAGCGGUCCCGAGAGGGUUUUCCGCCACAGGGGGACUGAAAAAGGCCCCAACUUAAUUUUAAAGGCAGCAGUGGGGAAUCUUGGACUAUUAGCGUGAGCUAGAUCCAGCUUUACCUUGAGGGUCAUCUCACUUAACAGUGAAAACUUACAUCCGAAGUUUCUACCUUUUAGUACGGGCUUCCGUCCAGGAGGGGGGUCACCUCUUUCUCAGGUAGAAAGUUCGUUCGGGGUUUUUCAAAAGAAAACCCCGUCGGGUGGGAAGUGCCGGUUACGGUCUUUUGACCCCGGGAGAAACACCCGCAAAGUCCCGGCCAAAUUCGUGCCAGCAGCCGCGGUAACACGGAAGGGGCGAGCGUUACUCGUACGUAUUGGGCGUAAGGCGUCCGUAGGUGGUGCAAACUUUUUUCUUGAAGUAAAGAUAAUUUCGGUCUUUAUUAAGUACACCCGAGUUUCUUCGAAGUUUAAGGUACCCUUGAUGGAGGGGUGGAAUCCAAAAAGAUCAAUGGGGACCUCCCACGGCGAAGGCAUUAUCACUAGAAGAUUCUAACACUGAGGGACUAAAGCGUGGGGAGCAAACAGGAUUAGAUACCCUGGUAGUCCACGCCCUCAACCAUGAAAAUACAACUAUUUUAAGUUUACCCUAACGGCUUAAAUUUUCCGCCUGAGUAGUACGGUUGCAAAACUGAAAUUCAAAGAGAUUGACGGAGGUCACCAAAAGAGGUGGAACAUGUGGUUUAAUCCGAUACAACGCGUAGCACCUUACCGAAUUCGGUCGACAACACCGGGUUCCCCCCGACUGGGGGCGACCCGAACGCAGGUACUGCAUGGCUGUCGUCAGUUCGUGCCGUAAGGUGUUUGGUUUAUUCCUUUCAACGAACGCAAUCCUUGUCUUGUACUUUAACGUACAGAGUUGAAUUUCGGUUUUCCCGAUUUUCUAGUGAGGAGUACGUCAAGUCGUCAUGGUCCUUAUCCGUCGGGCUACACACGUGUUACAAGGUUUUUUAUCCAAAGGAAAGCGCCGGUGUAAACCUUAGCUAAUUCCUAAAGCUUAACCUAGUUCAAAAAGAGGUCUGCAAACGACCCCCCGAAGCCGGAAUCUCUAGUAAUCGGGGAUCAGCACGCCCCGGUGAAGAAACUCCGACCUAGUACACACCGCCCGUCACACCAUGGGAGU
rnacentral:rRNA from 1 species